UAGGGAAUCUUCCACAAUGGACGCAAGUCUGAUGGAGCAACGCCGCGUGAGUGAAGAAGGUUUUCGGAUCGUAAAGCUCUGUUGUUGGUGAAGAAGGAUAGAGGCAGUAACUGGUCUUUAUUUGACGGUAAUCAACCAGAAAGUCACGGCUAACUACGUGCCCGCAGCCGCGGUAAUACGUAGGUGGCAAGCGUUGUCCGGAUUUAUUGGGCGUAAAGCGAGCGCAGGCGGAAUGAUAAGUCUGAUGUGAAAGCCCACGGCUCAACCGUGGAACUGCAUCGGAAACUGGCAUUCUUGAGUGCAGAAGAGGAGAGUGGAAUUCGAUGUGUAGCGGUGGAAUGCGUAGAUAUAGGGAAGAACACCAGUGGCGAAGGCGGCUCUCUGGUCUGCAACUGACGCUGAGGCUCGAAAGCAUGGGUAGCGAGCAGG
rnacentral:rRNA from 1 species